UACGGAGGGCGCAAGCGUUGUUCGGAAUCACUGGGCGUACAGCGCGUGUAGGCGGCUUGGCAAGUCGGGUGUGAAAUCCCGAGACUCAACCUCGGAACUGCACUCGAAACUGCCUGGCUCGAGUCCCGGAGAGGGGGGCGGAAUUCCCGGUGUAGGGGUGAAAUCCGUAGAUAUCGGGAGGAACACCAGUGGCGAAGGCGGCCACCUGGACGGUGACUGACGCUGAGACGCGAAAGCGUGGGGAGCAAACAGG
rnacentral:rRNA from 1 species